rnacentral:rRNA from 1 species
GGCGAAAUUGUAGUGCAAGUGAAGAUGCUUGCUACCCGCGAUUGGACGGAAAGACCCCGUAGAGCUUUACUGUAGCUUAGCAUUGAAUCUCGGUAUUGUCUGUACAGGAUAGGUGGGAGACUUGGAAGCUUGGGCGUCAGCCUGAGUGGAGUCAUCCUUGGGAUACCACCCUGACAGUACUGGGGUUCUAACCGGCGACCAUGAAUCUGGUCACGGGACAUUGUUAGGUGGGCAGUUUGACUGGGGCGGUCGCCUCCUAAAAAGUAACGGAGGCGCCCAAAAGUUCCCUCAGCGCGGUCGGAAAUCGCGCGAAGAGUGCAAAGGCAGAAGG